rnacentral:misc_RNA from 1 species
GGAAGUAAAAGUCGUAACAAGGUUUCCGUAGGUGAACCUGCGGAAGGAUCAUUAAUAAAUUUUUUUUUGAAAUAAAAAAAAAAAUAAUAAUCAUCCUACCCUUUGUGAAUUUGUUUUGUUGAAUAAUUUUUUAAAAUUAUUUAUUGUCUAUCCAAGUUGGAAAGUUGUAAAAGCUGAAGACUUGGAGCGGCAUAAAUAAAUUUUAAAGACUUUUUUUAAAAUUAAACUUUUUGUAUUCAUUUGUCUAAAAUAAUUUUUAUAAUAUAUAAAAACAACUUUUGACAAUGGAUCUCUUGGUUCUCGCAACGAUGAAGAACGCAGCAAAAUGCGAUAAGUAAUGUGAAUUGCAGAAUACGUGAAUCAUCGAAUCUUCGAACGCAUAUUGCACUUUUUAGUUUACUAAAAAGUAUGUCUGUUUGAGUAUCAGUAAAAUAUUCUCAUAAAAUUUUUAAUUUUAUGGUUAUGAGUGUUUUACAACGAUAAACAAGUUGUUUCACUUUAAAUUGAAUUUUUGAAUGAAAUUCUUUAAUUCAAAUUAAAUUUGGAUAAAAUUUUCCCGUAAAAAGGAAUAACUAUACAAGUUUAAUGAGAAUUUGGAUUUCUUUUAUAAAAGGAAAUCUAUUAAAUAACUUGAUCUCAAAUCAGAUAAGAGUACCCGCUGAACUUAAGCAUAUCAAUAAGCGGAGGAAAAGAAAUUAACAAGGAUUCCCCUAGUAACGGCGAGUGAAGCGGAAGAGCUCAAAUUGAAAUCUUAAAGGGUUUCCUUUACGAAUUGUAGUUUAAAGAAGUGUUUUCUGUUGAGGUUUUGGUAAAAGUUCUUUGGAAUAGGACAUCAUAGAGGGUGAGAAUCCCGUAUUUGACCUUUACUUUCAACUUUGUGAUACACUUCAAAGAGUCGGAUUGUUUGGGAAUGCAGUCCAAAAUGGGUGGUAAAUUUCAUCUAAAGCUAAAUAUUGGCGAGAGACCGAUAGGAACAAGUACCGUGAGGGAAAGAUGAAAAGAACUUGAAAAGAGAGUUAAACAGUACGUGAAAUUGUCAAAAGGGAAGCGUUUGACACCAGUGUUGUUUUUUCUGAAAAUCAAUUAAAGAACUGUUUAUGCUAAGUUGUUUAGACUUUAUCAGCUAACUGUUUAGUUUUGAGCUUUUCUUUAAUGCACUUUUCAGUUAACAAGUCAACAUCAAUUUCUUUUGCUGUAAAAAAGCUUGAGGAAGGUGGCUUGAGAUUCGUCUUAAGUGUUUAUAGCCUCUUGCCUAUGCAGUCGGAGAGAUUGAGGUCUGCAGCGUAGAUCCUUCGGGGCUAAAUGCAUUUGUGCUAAGUUAUUAGCAUUUUAUAGACAACUUGUUGACUAUGAUUUGUCUUGUAGCUUACUCGCUUAUGUUAUUUUACCUACGCUUAGGAUGU